rnacentral:misc_RNA from 1 species
GAUGAAGAACGUAGCGAAAUGCGAUACUUGGUGUGAAUUGCAGAAUCCCGUGAACCAUCGAGUCUUUGAACGCAAGUUGCGCCCGAAGCCAUUAGGCCGAGGGCACGCCUGCCUGGGCGUCACACGUCGUUGCCCCCCCAUCUACUCCUUCGGGAUUGCGGGGGGCGGAUGAUGGCCUCCCGUGCGCCUCGCCGCGCGGUUGGCAUAAAUGCCAAGUCCUCGGCGACGCACGCCACGCCAAUCGGUGGUUGCGAAACCUCGGUUGCCCGUCGUGUGCGGUCGUCGCGCAUCGAGGGCUCGAAAAAAUUGCCGGGUUCCGGCUCGGCUUUCAACGCGACCCCAGGUCAGGCGGGGUUACCCGCUGAAUUUAAGCAUAUCAAUAAGCGGAGGA